rnacentral:rRNA from 1 species
UCGAACGAGAAAGUGGAGCAAUCCAUGAGUACAGUGGCGUACGGGUGAGUAACACGUGGGUAAUCUACCUCUUAGUGGGGAAUAACUCUGGGAAACCGGAGCUAAUACCGCAUAAUCUCGAGAGAGGAAAGCAGCAAUGCGCUGAGAGAGGAGCCCGCGGCCGAUUAGCUAGUUGGUAGGGUAAAAGCCUACCAAGGCAAAGAUCGGUAGCCGGCCUGAGAGGGCACACGGCCACACUGGCACUGAAACACGGGCCAGACUCCUACGGGAGGCAGCAGUGGGGAAUCUUGCACAAUGGGGGAAACCCUGAUGCAGCGACGCCGCGUGAGCGAUGAAGCCCUUCGGGGUGUAAAACUCUUUCGGCAGGGAAGAUGAUGACGGUACCUGCAGAAGCAGCUGCGGCUAACUACGUGCCAGCAGCCGCGGUAAUACGUANGCAGCGAGCGUUGUUCGG